UUGAUCCUGGCUCAGGAUGAACGCUAGCUAUAGGCUUAACACAUGCAAGUCGAGGGGAAACGGCAUUAUGUGCUUGCACAUUCUGGACGUCGACCGGCGCACGGGUGAGUAUCGCGUAUCCAACCUUCCCUCCACUCGGGGAUACCCCGUUGAAAGACGGCCUAAUACCCGAUGUUGUCCACAUAUGGCAUCUGACGUGGACCAAAGAUUCAUCGGUGGAGGAUGGGGAUGCGUCUGAUUAGCUUGUUGGUGCGGGUAACGGCCCACCAAGGCGACGAUCAGUAGGGGUUCUGAGAGGAAGGUCCCCCACAUUGGAACUGAGACACGGUCCAAACUCCUACGGGAGGCAGCAGUGAGGAAUAUUGGUCAAUGGACGGAAGUCUGAACCAGCCAAGUAGCGUGCAGGAUUGACGGCCCUAUGGGUUGUAAACUGCUUUUGUUGGGGAGUAAAGUGAGGCACGCGUGCCUUUUUGCAUUUACCCUUCGAAUAAGGACCGGCUAAUUCCGUGCCAGCAGCCGCGGU
rnacentral:rRNA from 1 species